rnacentral:misc_RNA from 1 species
AACGGUCUAUACCUGCGGUACCUGCGGAAGGAUCAUUACAUGGCGGAGGAGGUGGGCACCUAGUAAAACAAAACCCUAGGUGUGUUGCCUACCACGCUUUCUACCCUUGUCUAUUUGCACCUUUUGUCGUUCCCUCGGUGGGUCUUGAACCUGCCGGCGGCAACUUUCAAAAACCUUUUGUAGUUAGUAUCUAAUUCUUCUGAUCAAAUAUUCAAUCGUUACAACUUUCAGCAACGGAUC